UGGUGGGUAGUUUGACUGGGGCGGUCUCCUCCUAAAGAGUAACGGAGGAGCACGAAGGUUGGCUAAUCCUGGUCGGACAUCAGGAGGUUAGUGCAAUGGCAUAAGCCAGCUUGACUGCGAGCGUGACGGCGCGAGCAGGUGCGAAAGCAGGUCAUAGUGAUCCGGUGGUUCUGAAUGGAAGGGCCAUCGCUCAACGGAUAAAAGGUACUCCGGGGAUAACAGGCUGAUACCGCCCAAGAGUUCAUAUCGACGGCGGUGUUUGGCACCUCGAUGUCGGCUCAUCACAUCCUGGGGCUGAAGUAGGUCCCAAGGGUAUGGCUGUUCGCCAUUUAAAGUGGUACGCGAGCUGGGUUUAGAACGUCGUGAGACAGUUCGGUCCCUAUCUGCCGUGGGCGCUGGAGAACUGAGGGGGGCUGCUCCUAGUACGAGAGGACCGGAGUGGACGCAUCACUGGUGUUCGGGUUGUCAUGCCAAUGGCACUGCCCGGUAGCUAAAUGCGGAAGAGAUAAGUGCUGAAAGCAUCUAAGCACGAAACUUGCCCCGAGAUGAGUUCUCCCUGAGACUUUAGGUCUCCUGAAGGAACGUU
rnacentral:rRNA from 1 species